UUUGCGAACGGCCACGGAGCUCCGCC
rnacentral:sRNA from 1 species